GGCUCCUUGUUAAUAUAUAUAUAAGGAGUCAGACCUGCCCAGUGAAUAAUUUUUUUAACGGCCGCGGUACUCUGACCGUGCAAAGGUAGCAUAAUAAUUUGCCUUAUAAUUGAAGGCUUGUAUGAAUGGUUUGACAAGAAUGAAGCUGUCUCUUUAUAGUUAAAUAGAAUUUUAUUUCUAGGUGAAGAAGCCUAAAUAUUAUUGAAAGACAAGAAGACCCUAUCGAGCUUAAAAUAAUUAAAUGAGUUCUUGAAAAUUUUAUUAGUAAUAAAAAUUAGUCAUUCAAAAUUUUGGUUGGGGCGACUUAGGAACAAAUAAAGCUUCCUAUUUUUAUAUAAUACAAACAAGUAAUGAUCCAAAAUAUUUGAUUAAGGGAAUUAGUUACCGUAGGGAUAACAGCAUUAUCUUUUUUGAGAGCCCUUAUCGAAAAAAAGGUUUGUGACCUCGAUGUUGGACCAGAAUAUCCUAAAGAUGUAGCCGUCUUUAAGGGUUGGUCUGUUCGACCAUUAAAAUUCUACGUGAUCUGAGUUCAGACCGGCGUGAGCCAGGUCAGUUUCUAUCUUCAAUUCAAUAUAAGCAAGCUUAGUACGAAAGGACCAGAUUGUUGCAACCAAAUUUGCUUUCAAGUGAAUUAAUAUAAAAAAAUAUUAAAAAAAUUAAAUUAAUCAAAUUAGCCAAGUUAAUGCAAUUGAUUUAGGAUCAAUCGACAUAGGUGAAACUCCUUUAUUUGAUAUAGAUAAUAGAUUUAGAAAUAAAGGUGGCAGAUGAA
rnacentral:rRNA from 1 species